GUUAAUGUAGCUUAUUAA
rnacentral:tRNA from 4 species